ACCCCACAAGACUCGUGACAGCGUAGCACAGAACAGGUUCACACAUACACUCAGGCGCACGUGCACACACACCCCCUCACCCUCAUACUCAAUCCCAUGAAAUUCAGCCACAAGCUUGAGGCGCUUAUGCCAUCAGACCCCACCUGGGACUAGAGAACCAGAAAGUUCGGACUCCGUCACUCGGCUCCAGGAGCCCACGGAGGGCACGAGAUCUUCCUCCAUCUUUCCUUUCCAGUUACCCACAGACCCGUGCCCCUCCUUUCUCACAGAUGCCCGCAUCCUCAUCGCUGGCACUAGCGUGAACAUGAGUUCUGGGGAUGUGGUAAGUUAUGACCAUGUUAUAGAGAGAGGAAGGUUGCAGGUACAGUUAGGGUUACUAAUCACUUGAUUCUGAGAUGGGGAGACGAUUCUGGAUUAUCUAGGUGGGUCCCAGGAAUUGCACAGGUGAGGCUGGAGGAGCAGGGUCAGAGAAGGAGGUGUGAGGAGAGGCGGCAGUGAGAACUACCUGCUCUGAAAGCAGAGGAAGUGCCCCAGCCAAGGAGUGUGGGCAGCCUGGAGAGAUGAGCAGAGGCAGGAAACAGGUGCCGUCCUGCUGGCAUCUUGAUUUUAGCCCUGUGAGACCCCCGUCCAACUGACCGCAAGGACGGAGAAUACAUUGGCGUGGUUUUAAGCCACUAAGGCUGUGGCCCUUUGUGACAGCAGCCAGAGGGGGCUCAGACAUCUUCCUCUGCAGGACCAGGCCUGUCCCACGAGCUCUGUUCAGUGAACCCUAGUCGUUCACGACCUGGGCAGGUGUCACUGUGGGCGCCUCUGUUGAUGCUCACCUCUUGGGAUCCUAAAGGAAGUCCUUUUCCACCUUGUAGGGCUGGCCCCAGGAAUGUAACUAUCUCUUAUCAGUGGCCAUAACCACACCCAAGAGAGCUCUGAUAGCCUGGGGCCUAGAAGGGAAGGGGGCCAGCAGGCCUGGAGCCUCAGGGAUGCCACGAGCGGCCCGGGGAGCCCUGUGUGCCGUGAUCAGCCAGUCCUUCCUCCCCCCCCCCUCCGCCCCGAAGCCCUCCCCACCACCCCCCUUUUUAAAAAAACAAAAACUACAAUAUUAGGUUCAGGCAGCUGGCUUUUUAUUAUUCAUUUGGAUUUCUAAAUAGGAACAUUCUGGCUUUAAUUAGAAUGAAUAAUAUGAGCGGUAGAAAUAGUCAAAUAUCACAGGGCUUCAUUAUUUACACCAUUGAUUUCGACAGGCAGAGAAACACAGAGUAGGACAUGUGCUCGGCACUGUGGAAAGAACAGAGCGGCCUCGAUCGGCUUCCAUCCCCACCCACCGAGGGGACCCUGAGUCUCCCUCUCCAGAGGCAAGAAAACCUCAGGACCUGGGGUCUCGCUGUUGCGGGAGAGACAGAUUGCACAACAGUUGUCAUCCAAGCAGUGACGGAUUGGCGUGGGACCUUGUGCUUCAUACCCCAUGUCAGGACGUUCAGGACGCGUUUUGCUCACCUAGUCCUGGCAGUUGGCCUGUAUUGAGGAACAUUUUUGUCCCACUUGACAGAUGAGAAACCUGACUUCAGAGUGGGGAAGUGCCUUGUGCGUCCACGAGGCCACAGGGAGGUAAAUGUCUAUACCAGGCGGGCUGGCCUCGGGGGCUGCCGACUGGGGGAUGCUGGCCAUGUGUGUUCAGUGCCUUAGGCCAGUGGUUCCCAAACGUGGCUGCCCCUUAAAAUCACCCAGGCAGCUCUCAAAACCGGAUGUCUGGGUCGCACCCCAGACCUAUUCCAUCUGCAUGUCUGGCUGUGGGAGGCAGGCUUUUCCGUGUCUUUUAAAGAUCCCCAGGUGACCCCAAAGCACAGCCACGUUGGGGAACCCCUGCUUUCUCUGUGUUCUCUCUCCAAAAUCCUCUAUGCCCCUAGAAGGAAAUAGCCAUUGCUGCCCCAUUUUAAAGAUGAGAGACCUGAGUCUCUGAGAGUUCAGGUGACACCCAUUGCGUCGGGACAUGAACCAGACGCUUCUAGACCUCUCAUUUGUAACCACUACACAAAGACGCCUUCCUGGUGGGAAAUUGUUAGUGGGUCAAGAGAGUCUUUUUCCAGGAGAAUGCAUUGGGCCUGAGGGACGUUUAAAAAUUGAAUCAAGCUUUUUCCCAUCUUGUGGUUUCUAGUUCUUUGAACAACCAUGAAAGUGAUACCUUUUGCUAUAAGCAUCCCCCUUUUUCCUCUGGAGUUCUAACCCGCUAAUUGAAUCCACUUAACCCCCUACAUUUACUUCAGUAGCUGUAGCACCUCACAGGUCUGAGGUGGGCCCAGACACCAGGAAGGCUUCUUUGCCCAAGCCCCCAGGAGUGUGGCCUCCUGGUGCCCACAGCCUUGACCUGUGUCCUGGGGGCCCUGUCCUGCAGGACAAAGUCCCUCCUCUAGGAACCCAGGUUCUCAGAGCAGCACAUAGCAUCCUCUGUGUGCAAAAGAUUUGGGUCAUUUCCUCCUUGGAUUUAUAACUCUGCAGGGACAUGGCUGGUGUCUCUAAGAUUCUCAGACAUUGAGCAGAAGCCUCCCCUCGGAAGGUUGGAGCUGUGGCAGUUAUUCAGUCUGCAAACAACCAGGGAGCAUGUGCUCCAGGUCUCGUUUCCUUCCUCCUGCUCUCUUCCCUCCAUACGUCCUGCUCCCAUUGUGUCUGUCUGUCUCUCUCUCUUGUUCCCUUUCUCACUAUGGCCCCCAGGCCACACUCUCCUCCUGUAUUAGCUUCCUCCUGCUGCUGUAACAAAAGAUCCCACAGUUCAUGGCUUCAAACAACACCAAUUGAUUCUCUCACAGUCCCAGACACCUGCAAUCACUGUGUGGGUAGACUUCAUUGCUUUUUGGAGAUUGUUCCAUGCCUCUGCCUAAGCCUGGUCUUGCAGCUGGCCCUUGCCAUUCCUGGGUGCAAGGAAGCAUCACCCCCGUCUCCACCUGCACCAUCCCAUGCUCUUCUCCCUGUCCCCUGUGUCUCUGAGUCACAGGCCUGCUUGUAAUGACACUGGUCUUUGGCUAAGGGCCUGCCCUAACCCAGUGUGCUCUCACUUAGAAAAUCAUAAGGUCAGAGAUACUAUUCCCAGAUAAGGUCACAUCUGGAGGCUCCCGUGGACUGGACUUUGGGAGGACACUGUGAACCCAGGACGCCCACUUUCCACCUUGCCAAACCCAUGCUGCUCAGCCAUGUGACCCCAGAAAGCACGUGUUGGAUCAGGUGUCACCCUACCUGUUGAGAACCCUCACCAUUGACCUCGGGAUAAAUCUAACUCCCCAGCCGGGCCUCCAGGUGCUGAGACACGUAGGCUCCAGCUGCCUCUUCAACCUCCGCCCAAAGCGCCCUUCUCACGGCCCACCCCACCGGCGUCCCUCCUGUGCCCUGUCCCCGCCUCUGGUCUCUGACCUCUGUGUCCUUACUGCCCCCCCUGUGAGCACCUUCUCUCUGGCCCUGCUCACCACUGGCUGCUCCUCCUCUAGGUCUCAGCUCAAAGGGCACCUCGUUGUAAAUUCCUU
rnacentral:lncRNA from 1 species